AAGGCCCGCCACUGUCGCCCUUAAGAAGAAAUACAUACAACAUGAAGAAUACUCCGAGCGUGACACGACGGAUCCGCUUGAAACGCCGUUUAACAAGAUCGCGUUAUAACAAAUCAACAAUAUUUUGUCAAACCUUUUUCACGAUUUCAUCACAUUUUGUUCUCUCUAGCUAUUUUAUGGUCGAAGGAAGUCGUUCGAAUCGGAGAACUGAUUCAAUCUCUGGCCGUUAAUUCAACACGUGCUCAUACUAUCUAACUACAGGUUGGUUAUUGAAAUUCAUGUCGCGGUUAUUCGACAGAGCGUGAAUUUCAUGUAUGUAUAUAUAUAUGUACAAAAACACGAACGAUACGCGAACGCGGUGCCUAACUAGCCGCUGCACUUGAAUGGUAAGAGGGUCGAUAUGUACCGUCUAAACGGGAUAGAUAGACGACGAUAAGGGAACGAGGCUUUCACUUACCCAGCAUGAGUCGCGGCCACCUUCUUCGUGGCCGGCGCACAUUUGCUUCGGCGCUACUUGGGUCGACUUGCCUUGGCUGGCGUACCAUUCGCGGCACACGCUGUUCUCGAUCACGCGAACUUCCACUUUCUGCAACACGUCCGCUCGUUUAUCUGAAAAAACAAAGUGGAACGGGCAUUUGAUACGGCCGUCGCGCGUCGUCCCUUGCAGGCACUUCCCCGCGAGCUUCAACGUUCCGUUUCGUGGCUGACAAGAAAUAUAAACGUCUUUUUCAAAUAACUUUGUAGAUCACAGCUGAUAGAAUUCUAUUAACGAAGAUCGUUUACUGCAUAUUCUCUUUUAGUUCACUUGGAUAACGAGCCACUUAUUUAAUCAGAAUUUUAAUUUCACUAAAAGUUUUACAGAUGAACCGAGCCACGAGGUCGUCGAACAAGAAUUAGAUUCACUCACAUUUGGAUCUGUCUUCGUUAAACCAACCCCAUCCGGCUACCCCAGCGAGCUCUCCGCCGAAGGCGCUAUACCCUGGUUUCCCAGUGGCCACAGAUUAUACUCGCCAAGACUGACCCGCAGUUGACCAGCGGAAACCAUAGACGUGGCUCUGCGCAAAUUAUUAAGAUGGUCCCUCCGCAAAUGUGUCCUCCCUUUUUGCUGAUGCUCACCAUCCAAGGAAACUCGUGUGGAAAUGCAUUUUGUCCACCGACCAGCCUCGCCGUACGCGUCCCGAUGUCUCGUCGGCCGCAAGCACGAGCAUCGUGGAACGUGUAAUUGCGGGACGUCGACCGGGGAACAGGAGGAGCUUCGUUUUUAUUUCUAUCGUUACAAUCUUCG